GGGCCUUUGGCCUAUUGAGAGAUGAAAACGAGCAGUUUGUGGAAAAUGAAGGCACGCAUGUUAUAAAAACGUUUGAAAACGACGAAUGGAUGCAAUGAUGCAGUCAUCUGUGAAAAGAAAGGCAGAAAUGGUGGAACAAGAACCUUUCCACCAUCACCUAUUUUAAAAAACAGACCCACCCCGAAAGCAAAUAAAAGCCUCUCUUCUCUCUCUCUCUCUCUCUCUCUCUCUCUCUCUUCAAAUGCUUCCUUUUAUUUUGUACUUUUUCACCAUAGAUUUGAUCUUACCAUACAAAUGGGAAGGUCUCAUUGUUAUCUUUUUUCCUCUCUCUCAUGGAAAGUAAGAACUUUUUCUCUGAAGUCUUGUUGGAGAAUGUAAUGGAAACAAUGGAAUGAAAAAGACCCACAUAGGAACUAAGUGUUGCAUGUUACGCUGGCUUUUGUUUGAGAGAACAGAAUAAAGAACAAAGGAAGUGAAAUUUGCAAUUGGGUUCUUGUAAUCUCAGUUGGGUUCUUUUGGUACUGCUGAUUGGGCUGGUUUAUUUAGUUGGAAUAAGCUUGGAGAGAGAAACGAACAUGGGUAAACAAGGACCUUGCUGCCAUUGUGGGGUUACAAACACUCCACUUUGGAGGAACGGACCACCUGGGAAGCCGGUGUUGUGCAAUGCAUGUGGAUCAAGAUGGAGGACAAAGGGUUCGCUUUCAAACUAUGCUCCGUUACAUUCCCGUUGGCCUCCACCUAUUGAUUCUGAUGACUACAAGAACUCUAGAGAGUAUAAAUCGCCGUCCAAGAAAAAACCGAAAAUUCUGCACGUAAUAAAUCAUGCUGAACAUGCAAUGGAAGUUGGAGAGACGGUAUCAGGACAUUACCAGCCCACAACAUGUUUUGAGGAUGAUAUUAGUAACAGAUCAAGUUCAGGGUCAGGAAUGUCAUUCUCUGAGAGCUGCAUUCAGCAUGGAAGGAUGGAUGGAAACGAUAUCUCAGGUUCAGCACAAUCGCAUUUGUGGGACUCCCACAUUCCUUCACGAAAGAGGACGGGCAAUAAACGCCAAAGCCCAUCACCUGUUGAAAAGCUCAGAAGAGAUCUCUGUGAUAUUCUACAGGAGCAAGAAUCAUCCUACCCAUCUCGGUCCUCAGAAGAACUACUUUUUGAAAGGGAAGAAGAUCCAAUGGCCUCUGGUGAGACAGGCUUGGGUGGUUUUCUAAUCAAGGAGCCCCUUCCAUCUGCAGAAGAGGAAUCGGAAGCAAGCUCACUUAUGACAAGAAACAAGAUUUCAUGUUUGAAUGAUGCUAAUAUGGGAUCACCGUCUUUUUGUGCACAUUCCCAAAGUUAUGAAAUUAGUUCAAGUCCACCAUGCAAAUAUAAAUUGACUCAGGACAUAGAAGAGGCAGAGAAAAUGAAAGAACAGCUGGGAAAACGUGAUGAUCUCGCAAAUAUAAAUUCGGAGAGCCCUCUUCUCAGCAAUCUCGGUGUUCUACAGAAUAUCCAUUCACCUCAGAGUCCAAUAGAUCUACAACCGUUAACCGAUGAAAGCUUUACAUGGGAGAAAGAAACAUCAUCUAGCUCAUCUCACAUCAUUGAAGCUGGGAAUCCGCUGUCAACAAACAGACCUCUAACAAGCCACACUGGCAGACAUCCGAGGGUGGAUUUCCUAUGAAACUGGCAGGGCCAAAAAGGAAGUUUGGAGGCUCUAAAUCAUCACAGCAUACAUUUUCAUCCCCUACAAGCAAGUUCGAAAGCAGUUACAGAUUUUAUAAGUACAACCAUAUUCAAGGAAACAAAUAAUCAGGGUCUAACAGGGUGUUCCAAUUCAAGCACAAAUCUAUCUGCCUCAUCUCUAGACAGUAGAAGCUUGACUAUGCUCAAUCCGGUGAAGGCUAACUCAGUUGAAACACUCGAUAAGGACUGCCUUGUAAGUUCACCUUCUGAUGUUUCCUUCUCUCCGGAAGAAUUUCUCUACUCACCAUCUCAAAACAAAGAGCCAAUCUAGAAGAAACACAAUCGGCGGCCAAGAUGUUCCAAUUUCACAAUCUUCGUUUUUUGUACCUAGCAGACAAGCCAGUACCAUACCAUACCCAAAUCAGUCAACUCUUCUAAUAAAGCAUUUUACAAAGUCGGCGACCCAUCCAAUGCAUGCGUUCUUCUCAUGCUAAUGGUUAGUCAGGGACAGUUCUAAUAAAGAUGUAUGUGCAUAUGGAGGUGUCUGUCUUGAAAGGGCCAGCUGUAUGCAAAUGAUUCUACAAAAACAAGGUUCUGAAUUUCUGGGGUCGGGUUGUUCAUUCUGUGAAUGGUUGAAUCAAAAGGAAACUUUGAUGUAGAUGGUAAAUUGGUUUGAUUCGAUCCUUGCUGAUACACAAUGAACUAGUCAUGAACAAUACAUCGAAAGUCUUUUUUAGUAUGGCAUUUCUAACUCAA